UCAAGUGCCUUAAGGGUGUUCGGUGGAUGCCUUGGCGCUGAGAGGCGAUGAAGGACGUGCUACGCUGCGAUAAGCCGUGGGGAGCUGCGAAGAAGCUUUGAUCCGCGGAUUUCCGAAUGGGGAAACCCACCUUCGAUAGCCGGAACUCCAAGACCUUGGUUUUGGGGUUCGAUUGGGAGACCGAGAGACUUCAAGAUCAUGACGAUGCAAGUCGUCGAGGUUUUGGAUUUCCGGUUAUCAAGAGAAGGUAUGAGACUUCUGAAUACAUGGGAGGUUUCAAGCGAACCCAGGGAACUGAAACAUCUAAGUACCUGGAGGAAAGGACAUCAACCGAGACUCCGCUAGUAGUGGCGAGCGAACGCGGACCAGGCCAGUCAUGAAUGUAAGCCAACCAGAACCUGUCAGGAAAGCAGGGCCUCAGAGGGUGAUAGCCCCGUAUGGGUAAUGCGAACAUUCAUGCUCGAGUAAGGCGGGACACGUGCAAUCCUGUCUGAACAUGGGGGGACCACCCUCCAAGCCUAAGUACUCCUCAGCGACCGAUAGUGAACCAGUACCGUGAGGGAAAGGUGAAAAGCACCCCGACGAGGGGAGUGAAAUAGACCUGAAACCGGACACCUACAAACAGACGGAGCCCAAGAUGCGUUCUGGGUGACGUCGUACCUUUUGUAUUAUGGGCCAGCGACUUAAUUUAACGAGCAAGCUUAAGCCGAUAGGCGUAGGCGUAGCGAAAGCGAGUCUGAAUAGGGCGUCAAGUUCGUUGUAUUAGACCCGAAACCUAGUGAUCUAGCCAUGAGCAGGUUGAAGGUGAGGUAACACUCACUGGAGGACCGAACGGGUGCCUGUUGAAAAAGGCUCCGAUGACUUGUGGUUAGGGGUGAAAGGCCAAUCAAACUGGGAAAUAGCUGGUUCUCCGCGAAAGAUAUUUAGGUAUCGCCUCGGACGAAUACCUCAGGGGGUAGAGCACUGGAUGGGCUAGGGGGACUUACCGUCUUACCAAACCCAACCAAACUCCGAAUACCUGAGAGUACUAUCCGGGAGUCACACGGCGGGUGCUAACGUCCGUCGUGGAGAGGGAAACAACCCUGACCUACAGCUAAGGCCCCCAAUUCGUGGCUAAGUGGGAAAGGAUGUGGAAAUCCCAAAACAACCAGGAGGUUGGCUUAGAAGCAGCCAUCCUUUAAAGAAAGCGUAACAGCUCACUGGUCUAAAUAAGGGUUUCUGCGCCGAAGAUGUAACGGGGCUCAAGCCACGAGCCGAAGCUUAGGGUGCAUCGCAAGAUGCGCGGUAGCGGAGCGUUCUGUAAGCCUGCGAAGGGCGACCCGUGAGGGCGCCUGGAGGUAUCAGAAGUGCGAAUGCUGGCAUGAGUAACGACAAACACUGUGAAAGACAGUGUCGCCGAAAGUCCAAGGGUUCCUGCGUAAAGUUAAUCUUCGCAGGGUUAGCCGGUCCCUAAGGCGAGGCCGACAGGCGUAGUCGAUGGGAAUGCAGUGAAUAUUCUGCAGCCAGUGGAUGGUGACGAAUUGCGUAUGUUGUCUGACCUUACUGGAUUGGUCGGGCCUCGAAGCAGUUCCAGGAAAUAGCCUCCACAUUAGACCGUACCCGAAACCGACACAGGUGGACUGGUAGAGUAUACCAAGGCGCUUGAGAGAACUAUGUUGAAGGAACUCGGCAAUUUACCUCCGUAACUUCGGGAUAAGGAGGCCCAUUGCUCGCGCAAGCGGGCAGUGGGGGCACAGACCAGGGGGUGGCAACUGUUUAACAAAAACACAGGGCUCUGCGAAAUCGUAAGAUGACGUAUAGGGUCUGACGCCUGCCCGGUGCCGGAAGGUUAAGAGGAGAGGUGCAAGCCUUGAAUCGAAGCCCCGGUAAACGGCGGCCGUAACUAUAACGGUCCUAAGGUAGCGAAAUUCCUUGUCGGGUAAGUUCCGAC
rnacentral:rRNA from 1 species